CAGCAGCCGCGGUAAUACGAAGGGGGCUAGCGUUGCUCGGAAUUACUGGGCGUAAAGGGCGCGUAGGCGGAUGUUUAAGUCGGGGGUGAAAGCCCGGGGCUCAACCUCGGAAUUGCCUUCGAUACUGGACAGCUUGAGUACGGGAGAGGUGAGUGGAAUUCCGAGUGUAGAGGUGAAAUUCGUAGAUAUUCGGAAGAACACCAAUGGCGAAGGCGACUCCCUGGCCCGUUACUGACGCUGAGGCGCGAAAGCGUGGGGAGCAAACAGGAUUAGAUACCCUGGUAGUCCACGCCGUAAACGAUGAGUGCCAGUUGUCGGCAUGCAUGCAUUUCGGUGACGCAGCUAACGCAUUAAGC
rnacentral:rRNA from 1 species